AGCUCCAGUAGCGUAUAUUAAUGUUGUUGCAGUUAAAAGCUCGUAGUUGGAUUUCUAGGCUACAUUGCUGUCCCCGAGGUCUUAGACAACGGCGUGAUAAGCGAUGUUGUCUAUCCUAUUAAUCUGUCAGGCUUCGGUCUGAUAGGUUGAUUCUUUUACUUGAAAAAUUAGAGUGUUUAAAGCAGGCUUUGCCAUGAAUACAUUAGCAUGGAAUAAUAACAUAGGACUUCGUUUCUAUUUUGUUGGUUUCGAGAUAUGAAGUAAUGAUUGAUAGGGAUAGUUGGGGGUGCUAGUAUUGAGCGGCCAGAGGUGAAAUUCGUGGAUUCGCUCAAGACUAACUUAUGCGAAAGCAUUCACCAAGGAUGUCUUC
rnacentral:rRNA from 1 species